rnacentral:lncRNA from 1 species
UGAGGUCCUGGAGCCGCCAGCGAAGCAGCGAGCGGCCGGUCGGGUGCCGCAGGUCGGGAGGAUCCACUGGAGAAUGAUUGUCACUAUACUGGAUGGACUGCUGAACUAUUGAAUUACUUCCAUCUUUUAACCACACUAGGAAAUCAUCCAAGGAGUUGAAAUAUUUAUUGCAGUAAUUUCUGACCUUACAUACUUGAGGUUGAAUGCGUUUGGGAACUUGAUGCAUAAAAUUUGCAUGACUCCUCACUCCUUUCUGGAUCUGUCAUUGGAUUCAAGCCAACAUGGCUCACACCACAAAGGUUAACGGCUGUGCCUCAGG